rnacentral:rRNA from 1 species
AGUGAACGCUGGCGGCGUGCUUAACACAUGCAAGUCGAACGAGAACGGAAUAUAGCUUGCUAUAUUUGUCAGCUAAGUGGCGCACGGGUGAGUCGUGUAUAGAUAACCUGCCCUUAAGAAAGGAAUAACAGUUGGAAACGACUGCUAAUGCCCUAUAUGCCUUUAAUACAUAAGUAUGCAAGGGAAACGCUUUAGUGCUUAAGGAUGGGUCUGUGUGGUAUCAGCUUGUUGGUGAGGUAAUGGCUCACCAAGGCUAUGACGCCUAACUGGUUUGAGAGGAUGAUCAGUCACACUGGAACUGAGACACGGUCCAGACUCCUACGGGAGGCAGCAGUGGGGAAUAUUGCACAAUGGACGAAAGUCUGAUGCAGCAACGCCGCGUGGAGGAUGACACAUUUCGGUGCGUAAACUCCUUUUAUAUAGGAAGAUAAUGACGGUACUAUAUGAAUAAGCACCGGCUAACUCCGUGCCAGCCGCCGCGGUAA